AGGACAUAGUGGCCUUAUCAGGGGCUCAUACACUGGGAAGGGCACACUAGGAAAGAUCUGGAUUUGAUGGUCCUUGGACUCAGGAACCCCUUAAGUUUGAUAAUUCCUAUUUUGUCGAGUUGUUGAAAGGGAAGCAGAGGGGCUGCUGAAACUGCCAACUGACAAGGCAUUGCUGGAAAAUCCUGCAUUUCGCCCUUAUGUUGAGUUGUAUGCGAAGGAUGAGGAUGCAAUUUUCAGAGAUUAUGCAAUCUUGCAU